GACGAACGCUGGCGGCGUGCUUAACACAUGCAAGUCGAACGGAAAGGCCCUGCUCUUGUGGGGUGCUCGAGUGGCGAACGGGUGAGUAACACGUGUGUAAACUGCCCUUGACUUUGGGAUAACUUCUGGAAAAUGGGGCUAAUACCGGAUAGGAGCUCCUGCUGCAUGGUGGGGGUUGGAAAGUGUCGGCGGUUGUGGCUGGUCUGGAGGCUUAUCAGCUUGUUGGUGGAGUAGGUACUUACCAAGGCUUUGAAGGGUAGCAGGCCUGGGAGGGGGACCGGCCACAAGGGGACUGAGAGACGGCCCAGACGCCUACGGGAGGCAACGGUGGAGAAUAUGACGGAGUGAGCGGAAGCCAGAUGCAGCAGCGCCGCGUGCGGGAUAACGGCCUUCGGGUUAUAAACCGAUUUCGCCGGAGACGAAGCGUGAGUGACGGUAAUGGGUAAAGAAGCACCGGCUAACUACGUG
rnacentral:rRNA from 1 species